GGGGGGAGCGCAGGAUCCUGGGCUGUGUCCCCCAGCGCCUUGGGCUCCCGGGCCUGCGCUGCUGGAAUCGCGCUUCUGGGGUGCCUGAGCCGCUGCCG
rnacentral:pre_miRNA from 1 species